CCCCAACCACAUCUCACCUGCAGGUCACUGAGGACCCCAACCACAUCUCACCUGCAGGUCUCUGAGGACCUCAACCACAUCUCACCUGCAGGUCACUGAGGACCCCAACCACAUCUCACCUGCAGGUCUCUGAGGACCUCAACCACAUCUCACCUGCAGGUCUCUGAGGACCUCAACCACAUCUCACCUGCAGGUCACUGAGGACCUCAACCACAUCUCACCUGCAGGUCUCUGAGGACCUCAACCACAUCUCACCUGCAGGUCUCUGAGGACCUCAACCACAUCUCACCUGCAGGUCACUGAGGACCCCAACCACAUCUCACCUGCAGGUCUCUGAGGACCUCAACCACAUCUCACCUGCAGGUCUCUGAGGACCUCAACCACAUCUCACCUGCAGGUCACUGAGGACCCCAACCACAUCUCACCUGCAGGUCACUGAGGACCCCAACCACAUCUCACCUGCAGGUCUCUGAGGCUCAUGAGUUCAGUAUCAGCGGGGUUUAACUGCCUUAAUAAACUUUAAUUACAGUUCUAUAACUUUUAACAUUCACAUUAAAAUAAUAACAAUCCAAUAAUAACAGCACACUGCUGUAAAGCCUGAUUAUUUGUAUUAUAGCAGAGUUCACCUGUAUUUAUAGAUCAUUGUUUUACACUGUAAAUAUCUUUAAUUAAAUAUUAAGAAGACAUUUUAU